rnacentral:rRNA from 1 species
GACGAACGCUGGCGGCGUGCUUAACACAUGCAAGUCGAACGCUGAAGCCCUUUCGGGGGUGGAUGAGUGGCGAACGGGUGAGUAACACGUGGGUAAUCUGCCCUGUACUUCGGGAUAAGCCUUGGAAACGGGGUCUAAUACCGGAUAGGACCUGUCCUCGCAUGGGGGUGGGUGGAAAGUUCCGGCGGUAUGGGAUGAGCCCGCGGCCUAUCAGCUUGUUGGUGGGGUAGUGGCCUACCAAGGCGACGACGGGUAGCCGGCCUGAGAGGGUGACCGGUCACACAGGGACUGAGACACGGCCCAGACUCCUACGGGAGGCAGCAGUGGGGAAUCUUGCGCAAUGGGCGAAAGCCUGACGCAGCAACGCCGCGUGGGGAUGACGGCCUUCGGGUUGUAAACCUCUUUCGACAUCGACGAAGGGGCCCUGUUGUGGGGUUUUGACGGUAGGUGUAGAAGAAGCACCGGCUAACUACGUGCCAGCAGCCGCGGUAA